rnacentral:rRNA from 1 species
UACGGAGGGUGCAAGCGUUGUUCGGAAUUACUGGGCGUAAAGGGCGCGUAGGCGGUUUGAUAAGUCAGAUGUGAAAGCCCACGGCUUAACCGUGGAAGUGCAUUUGAUACUGUCAGACUUGAGUACCAGAGGGGAAAGUGGAAUUCCCGGUGUAGAGGUGAAAUUCGUAGAUAUCGGGAGGAAUACCGGUGGCGAAGGCGACUUUCUGGCUGAGUACUGACGCUGAGGCGCGAAAGCGUGGGGAGCAAACAGGAUUAGAUACCCUGGUAGUCCACGCUGUAAACGAUGUCAACUAGAUGUAGGGGGUGUUGAUCCCUUCUGUGUCGCAGCUAACGCAUUAAGUUGACCGCCUGGGGAGUACGGUCGCAAGAUUA